rnacentral:rRNA from 1 species
UACAGCGGUCUCAAGCGUUGUUCGGAUUCCUUGGGCGUAAAGGGUGCGUAGGCGGCGCGGUAAGUCGGGUGUGAAAUCUUGGAGCUUAACUCCGAAACUGCAUUCGAUACUGCCGUGCUUGAGGACUGGAGAGGAGACUGGAAUUUACGGUGUAGCGGUGAAAUGCGUAGAUAUCGUAAGGAAGACCAGUGGCGAAGGCGGGUCUCUGGACAGUUCCUGACGCUGAGGCACGAAGGCCAGGGGAGCAAACGGG